rnacentral:rRNA from 1 species
CCUACGGGAGGCAGCAGUGGGGAAUAUUGGACAAUGGGCGAAAGCCUGAUCCAGCAAUGCCGCGUGAGUGAUGAAGGCCUUAGGGUUGUAAAGCUCUUUUACCAGGGAUGAUAAUGACAGUACCUGGAGAAUAAGCUCCGGCUAACUCCGUGCCAGCAGCCGCGGUAAUACGGAGGGAGCUAGCGUUGUUCGGAAUUACUGGGCGUAAAGCGUACGUAGGCGGUUAUUCAAGUCAGAGGUGAAAGCCCGGGGCUCAACCCCGGAACUGCCUUUGAAACUAGAUAGCUAGAAUCUUGGAGAGGUUAGUGGAAUUCCGAGUGUAGAGGUGAAAUUCGUAGAUAUUCGGAAGAACACCAGUGGCGAAGGCGACUAACUGGACAAGUAUUGACGCUGAGGUACGAAAGCGUGGGGAGCAAACAGGAUUAGAUACCCUGGUAGUCCACGCCGUAAACGAUGAUAACUAGUUGUUCGGGUCACUUGGUGCCUGAGUGACGCAGCUAACGCAUUAAGUUAUCCGCCUGGGGAGUACGGUCGCAAGAUUAAAACUUAAAUGAAUUGACGG